UUUUUUUCAACUUCAACGAUGGUCUGGGCUUCUCUCAUUUUACAUCUUGGACUUUUACCAUUUUGAAUUUCCGUGGGCAAAUAAUAUACAUGCCCUCUAGAGUUUGUACUGAUGUGAAUCCUUUCAAACUUGCGUGGCUUGCAUCAUUGAAUGGGCUGUAUUCUUUUCACCACCACCAUUGUUUUAUCCAUAUCUUUUCGAACUUGCAUGGCUUACAUCAUUAAACGGGCUGUAGGUGGAUAUGUACUAAUGAAGCGACAAAAGAAACACAAUACACACGAACUGAUAACAAACUUCACAUGACCUAACAACAAGAACACACACGAACUAACAACGAUAACAAAUUUGCAGGCGACCUGACAACAAGAACACAAAUGAACUUAAAACAAAAAUAUAAAUGGUGACCAGCUCGGCGGCGUACUGCAGCACGCAGGAGGGGCAACCAAUUAGUCAGCUCGUCGAGGCCGCCAAUACGCAGGAGAGCAUGGUGAGGGCAACAAUAGAGGGAGGCUGCAUGCGGUGGUCGUGGAAGCACCGUGGGGGUUGAGCCACAAUUGUGGUUGAUGGCAAGCCGGCACGACACGACGUGCAGCUUGAGGACGAGUGGGCGGUGCACGACAUGUCACUUUAGAUGCGCCUGUUGGACUGAUUUCCUUCUUUCAUCUGGACGGAUCAAUUGCAGAACUUGCUAUUAGAAACAGUAAAGAUACAAAAUAGUCAUGUGCUCAAACUUGAAGCAAGAUAUGAUUUCAUGUCCUUAUCCAUUAAUAAAAUCAUACUAUGUACAUUUGUAAAAUACUUGCUCUCGGUACUAGUCAUUCUACUUAGUUAUCCAAAACGGUUGUGAAUGCUGCAUCCAUUUUUCUCAAGAAAAUGUGACAUAUAAGUUUUAUACAGAUAGAAAUAUGCACCCUCAAGAAAAUGUAACAUAUAAGUUUUAUAUAGAUAGAAAUAUGCACCAAAAGAUAUACCAAAAUUCUAGUUUUACAUCAUCAGAAGAAACAAAUAAUUUGAUGCCAACCUAAGUGAGCACUGAAAGAUGCAAAGAAGAGCCUUCUUUUGAGAAUUUGACUUUGGUACUCCCUCCGUCCGGAAAUGCUUGUCAUCAAAAUGAAUGAAAGGAGAUGUAUUUAGACGUAUUUUAGUUCUAGAUACAUCUAUUUUUAUCCACUUUGAUGACAAGUAUUUUCGGACGGAGGGAGUACAUGUUUUUCUCUACAAAUUGAUAAACCAAGAGACAUUACAGAGGCUCAUUUCUCACGCUUAACCACAAGCACACGUUUGUUCUAUAGGAAGCUGGAAAUAUAAAAGGGAAAUUGGAUUUACGAUGAGGAAGUAGAUGUACUAAAAAGCAUAUGAAAGAUGAACUGAAAAAGUUGAAGCUCCAGAUCCUCAUGACGAACUGGACCAUACUGGAGUUGUGAAUGGUGGUGAAGCUUCACAUCCUUCAUCGUCAAUGAGCUCCUGCCAUGAGCCAAA
rnacentral:lncRNA from 1 species